AAGAUGUAGUCAUACAUUCGCCAGCUUGUUACACGCCGAAGAGGAGGGAAGAGCCGCGCACUCAAUGCAGCAGAAAGAGACGCAUGACCAACAUAAUGCCACCUUUGCUCACUGGCAAGGGAACCUUCUGGUGGCGUUGAUGGAUGACCAGAAAACUGAGCUCAUGCCAUGCAUCGAAACAUUAUAGCGCUGUAAAUCCUCCAUAUGCAUUUCCUGUAAGGCUUUCGUGCGGUAUAACCUAAACAUAACCUCAACCAAAUUCUAGCUCUUGAGUUAAGAUUAGCGCUGAACAAAUUGUGGAGCACGAUUGGAUAAAAUAACCGGAGAUAUAAGAUUGUGCAGAGAAACACGACUUUCAAACUACGUAGUCAAAUGACAGUUAAAUCACAGUCAAAUCAUAGUCAGAUCACAGUCAGUUAAUAUCGGAAUACAAAUUGAGGUGAGUAACUAUCCGGGAGCUCAACUGCUGGCAAUAGCUAGACCGUUGUUCGCCGGUUCGCUUAAAUCGGUUUCGAGUAAAUAGGUAGAUAUAAAGUAGAUAGAAGUGGCAGCAUACAUAGACGCAAGAUUUUGUUCUUUGUGCACAGUGUACAAAAAUGAUGUGUACCUAACCAUCAUUUGAAGCAGUUUCCUUUUACAUAAGGGAGAGGCACAAACUGAAAUAAAUUGCUGUGCCAGAGUGAGACACAGAAGAGUGCUAUAGGAGCUCUACAUGGGCUUUUUUCUGCCUUCUCUUGUGCCUCUCUUAUUUGUAUAAAUACAUACAAAUGUUCUCUGGCUGUAAACAACUUCACAAAUAGAACAUUUUCUCUGCUAAAUCAUAAAAGCAAUAUUCUCUCUUUUUCAUGCUUUAUUCUCGAAAAGGCCAUAGAUAAAAAAGACACACUGUCUCCCCUUUGGCUGAUGGCAAUGUGAGCAGAAGGGGGAGAGUGUGAGGUGAAUAUAGGAGCAGUCCUUUGACGUCGAUAGCUUUAUAAUGAUGUGAAGAAGAAAAUAGCAAUCUUCUGGGACGAGUUUAAUAAGUGCGUGCCAUUGGCAGAAAUAAGAGAAAAUUUGCCUCUCUUGCAGUCAAAGGCGAAGAAAAAGUGCCAUCGUAUGAUCGCAUAAGGGGACAACAACUGGCGGAAUGUGGCACAGCAGAUGUGUGACUGUUGGGAGAGCGUGCAAUUGUAAUUUCCAAAAUUUAUGCAACUUAGAUAUGCACUAAGGGAAGGGGUGCAAGCGCAAUUCAAGUGUUAAUUCGCCACUGUGACCAAAUGCCUUGUUCCGGUCAUGCAGCAAGCAUGCUCUCGCGCGGUGGACAGAUUGUGGACUUAUCAACGAUCUGGUAGAGUUUCAAGUCAAAGAAUAUUCCAGAAAGUACUGGAAACACGCGUAUCAGAAGUUGCUCGCCUCCGAUAUCGCGUGCUAAUCAACGAUAAAUGCUCCUACAAUUGUGUCAAACCAUACACAGUUGCUCACACACACACACACACACACACACACACACAAAGCCAACCAUUCCAUCUUGAGAUGCUCUGGAAAAAUAUAGCUGCGCAAAGAAAGCGCUUUUUUCUCGCUGUGCUCACUUCAUAUGCGAAGCCUAUCGAGGUGAAGACGGGGCGAGGCGGUGAAGAAGGUGAGGAGAAUCGAGCGAGAGGAGAAAAAAAGAGUGACAAACAAUAUGGAGAGGAAUAUGGGGAAAAAUACUGGGUAGAUCUCUCAUCCGUGGAAUUAUUGUGCGAAAAGAACACACCAGAGAAACUCUCCACACACUCUUUCUGGGCUACGUAAGCCAGGGAGCCCUGGGCCUGGGAUGUUGGAGUCUCAUGCGUUGCACUCUUGAUGACUCUGAGAAAGGACCAACGCAUCGCCACGCACCACUCAUCUCUCGCCCCUUUGUCUCUCACAAAUAUCUGCCAUGACACCAGAAGCGCGAGUGACCAUUUUCAGAUAUGCAAAUUGCCAUCAACAGAAUUUUCCGCUCUUGGCGCGUCCACAAAAAAAAGACCGUCUACUGAAUAUGGGAAUUAAUUUGGAAAAUCACCUCACCAUGUCUCGGUGGAUGAAUUUUGAUUGUUGUCCACCUAUUUUUGUUUGUGAAUCUGACGCAAUAUUGCUCGUAGUGUUUAUCAUUCAAUGAAAAUAAAAUAUAUCCACCGCGAGGGAGGGUAUUUUUAUUCAAAUGUAUAGUGCGCGCCAUUCAGUCAAAAAUGCCUCUGCAGCCAUUCAGAUGGAUUCUAAUAUAUUUGUUUGCGAAGCCAAAAGAAUUUUCGGGCAUGUCUCACAACCAACAACACCGCUGAUAGUCUUGUCAUCGGUUCUGCACAGCCUUGGAGAGGCGGUUGUUGCAUAACUUUGGAUGAAAAGUUCAAGAGAUGUAUAGCAUAUGAUUAAACCC